rnacentral:rRNA from 1 species
GGCUCAUUAAAUCAGUUAUCGUUUAUUUGAUAGUACCUUACUACUUGGAUAACCGUGGUAAUUCUAGAGCUAAUACAUGCUAAAAACCCCGACUUCGGGAGGGGUGUAUUUAUUAGAUAAAAAACCAACGCCCUUCGGGGCUCCUUGGUGAAUCAUAAUAACUUAACGGAUCGCAUGGCCUUGCGCCGGCGACGGUUCAUUCAAAUUUCUGCCCUAUCAACUUUCGAUUGUAGGGUAUUGGCCUACAAUGGUAUCAACGGGUAACGGGGAAUUAGGGUUCGAUUCCGGAGAGGGAGCCUGAGAAACGGCUACCACAUCCAAGGAAGGCAGCAGGCGCGCAAAUUACCCAAUCCCGACACGGGGAGGUAGUGACAAUAAAUACUGAUACAGGGCUCUUUUGGGUCUUGUAAUUGGAAUGAGUACAAUUUAAAUCCCUUAACGAGGAACAAUUGGAGGGCAAGUCUGGUGCCAGCAGCCGCGGUAAUUCCAGCUCCAAUAGCGUAUAUUAAAGUUGUUGCAGUUAAAAAGCUCGUAGUUGAACCUUGGGCCUGGCUGGCCGGUCCGCCUCACCGCGUGCACUGGUCCGGCCGGGCCUUUCCUUCUGGAGAGCCGCAUGCCCUUCACUGGGCGUGUCGGGGAACCAGGACUUUUACUUUGAAAAAAUUAGAGUGUUCAAAGCAGGCCUUUGCUCGAAUACAUUAGCAUGGAAUAAUAGAAUAGGACGUGCGGUCCUAUUUUGUUGGUUUCUAGGACCGCCGUAAUGAUUAAUAGGGAUAGUCGGGGGCAUCAGUAUUCAAUUGUCAGAGGUGAAAUUCUUGGAUUUAUUGAAGACUAACUACUGCGAAAGCAUUUGCCAAGGAUGUUUUCAUUAAUCAGUGAACGAAAGUUAGGGGAUCGAAGACGAUCAGAUACCGUCGUAGUCUUAACCGUAAACUAUGCCGACUAGGGAUCGGGCGAUGU